AGCACAAGUGGUCGCACUAACCCACCAAAGAGGAGGUGUGAGGAGGAAGAAGGAAGUGUUGGCCUUCCUCCUAAGAGAAGGUGCAUUGCAUCUCAUCAGGCCCCUCUCCGAAGAUCCCAGAGGAUAAUACAAAAAAAUGCUGAUAGACUAGAGAGAGAUCAACAACAAUAACAACAACAACAACAACAACAACAACAACAACAACAACAACACCAACAACAACAACAGCAACAGCAUCAGCAGCAACAGCCUCAACAUCCCCAGCAACAACCCCAACCGGAACAGGAACCUGAUGUUAUGGAUUUAUUAUUAGAACUCUACUGGGCCAGAAUUGGAAAACAGCCGUACUGGCCAUGCCAAGUAGUUACAGAUGAGGAUGGUAAAUUUUACAAGAGGAAAAUUUGCUCCAACAAUGUCGUUAGGGUGUCACUCUAUGUGCGGUGGUUGGGGGAUGGGAGGCAUUCCUGGGUUGUCCUCUCCUAUUUGGUGCCCUUUGAGAGGGCACCAACCCCCCAACAGACACCCUACACAAUGUUGUAGGAUUAUGUCAUAACUUGUGCUUGGGCUGAGAGGCGAGACGGACAAUGGACAACGAGCGCAUCAAACAACGGUAAAGAGGACCGCUGCUUGCUGAAUCGGACGGAGCCUACACGGGGACCAGGACGACGCUGCAAGACUGGACCAACUCCACCACUGAGGGCAUCACCGACAACCACAGCCAAAAGACGACCUCUGUGCUGAACCUGAUCGCUCAAACAAACCAGUGUGCUUGGGCUGAGAGGCGAGACGGACAACGGACAACGAGCGCAUCAAACAACGGUGAAGAGGACCGCUGCGUGCUGAAUCGGACGGAGCCUACACGGGGACCAGGACGACGCUGCAAGACUGGACCAACUCCGCCGCUGAGGGCAUCACCGACAACCACGGCCAAAAGACGACCUCUGUGCUGAACCCGAUCGCUCAAACAAACCAGCACCUCAAAACCAAAGAAAAUGUGAAGGCCUGUAGAGUGCCAAGGAGGCUGGUGGCCAAAGUGGACGCAGCAGUGGAGGAGGCUCUGGAAAUGCAAGAUAUUUUCAUUUAAGUGAUGGUGAUUGGUUCCAUGGUGUUGAACGAGAUAGUGGUGGGACUUGCGGUGUCCUACCUGAGCGUCCUGAUGUGUGGCAUCGGUGUCCUGAUGGCGUGGCGUGGCUUCUCUCCCCUCCGCCAGCUGCCCACCUUCC